GUAAGGUGUGGUUGAGACUAUCUGGACUGUGCACUUGACUGAAUCCUGAACCCCAUUAAGGCUUCUAUAUAAACUUUUAAGAUAUAGUGGGUGGGUGCGGAGACUUGCCUUGUGGCUUCCUGAGACAAGCCUGAUGUAGACCUCGAAUAUCUGCUCCAUGCAUUUCGUCCAAGUUUUAGACCUGUCCUCAGAGAAACAGGAUGGAGUAUACUCAUUCCAACUUACCCAGAACCAGAACCAGAAGAUUGUUAUGAAAACGUGUCGGUGGGGCCGGCCCAUGGCUGAAUGGUUAAGUUCACACGCUCUGCUUCGGCGGCCCAGGGUUUUGCUGGUUCGGAUCCUGGGCGCAGACAUGGCACCGCUCAUUAGGCCAUGCUGAGGUGGCAUCCCACAUGCCACAACUGGAAAGACC
rnacentral:lncRNA from 1 species